rnacentral:rRNA from 1 species
UGGGGAAUGAUUGCGCAAUGGGGAACCGAUGGACCGCAGCAACGCCAGCCGAUGCAAGGAUGAAGGAGUUUUCAGGGUUAUUGGUUAAACAUUCUUUGAUUGAGGGAGCGAAAGAAAUGACGGUACCUCAAAAACAAGCCACGGCUAACUACGUGCCAGCAGCCGCGGUAAUACGUAGGUGGCGAGCGUUGUCCGGAAUUACUGGGUGUAAAGGGCGUGUAGGCGGGAUGUAAGUCAGAUGUGAAAUACCGUGGCUUAACUACGGGGCUGCAUCUGAAACUAUGUUUCUUGAGUGUCGGAGAGGAAAGUGGAAUUCCCAGUGUAGCGGUGAAAUGCGUAGAUAUUGGGAGGAACACCAGUGGCGAAGGCGACUUUCUGGACGAUAACUGACGCUGAGGCGCGAAAGCGUGGGGAGCAAACAGGAUUAGAUACCCUGGUAGUCCACGCUGUAAACGAUGGAUACUAGGUGUAGGAGGUAUCGACCCCUUCUGUGCCGGAGUUAACACAAUAAGUAUCCCACCUGGGGAGUACGGCCGCAAGGUUGAACUUAAAGGAAUUGACGGGGUCAUAGCUGUUUCCU